GCGGAAAUAGCUCAGUUGGUAGAGCACAACCUUGCCAAGGUUGGGGUCGCGGGUCCGAGUCCCG
rfam:Prevotella copri strain 2789STDY5834881 genome assembly, contig: SCcontig000923